rnacentral:rRNA from 1 species
GAUGAACGCUGGCGGCGUGCCUAAUACAUGCAAGUCGAGCGAACAGACGAGGAGCUUGCUCCUCUGACGUUAGCGGCGGACGGGUGAGUAACACGUGGAUAACCUACCUAUAAGACUGGGAUAACUUCGGGAAACCGGAGCUAAUACCGGAUAAUAUAUUGAACCGCAUGGUUCAAUAGUGAAAGACGGUUUUGCUGUCACUUAUAGAUGGAUCCGCGCCGCAUUAGCUAGUUGGUAAGGUAACGGCUUACCAAGGCAACGAUGCGUAGCCGACCUGAGAGGGUGAUCGGCCACACUGUAACUGAGACACGGUCCAGACUCCUACGGGAGGCAGCAGUAGGGAAUCUUCCGCAAUGGGCGAAAGCUUGACGGAGCAGCGCCGCGUGAGUGAUGAAGGUCUUCGGAUCGUAAAACUCUGUUAUUAGGGAAGAACAAAUGUGUAAGUAACUAUGCACGUCUUGACGGUACCUAAUCAGAAAGCCACGGCUAACUACGUG